CGUUUUCUUCUUCCUCUCCCCGAGCUGUCGCUCUCCCUUUCUCUCCUCUGCAACUCCGGUUGCUUUCUCUUUCCGGCCACCAAAAAGCGUGAAACCGGUGGCUACGGACUCGUCUCGACUUCCUCUUGGCGCUGGCGGUGGUGGCUCACGGCGGCUUGGCCAGAAAACGACGCAUCAAGCCUUAGAAGUUUACUGUAGCAGUUUGAGUCAACGCCGAUUUCUUCCUAUUCCGGCCACCUCCGACGACGAACCAUAAUCAUUUGGAAGCGGCUUCCGAUGUAGAUGAUGCUCCCCAAAUCUUUUGCAACGAUUUGCAGUGUAGAGGAAGAAUCGACGAUUGGAAGAUUACGGUCACUAUUCACAGUUUGAGUUCAAGCUUCUCCUUAAUUGUUGAGGGCAAUGCCGCGAGCUACGGUUAAAUGAAGGAACUCGUUUGCGUGGUCGCCCAAUAGUACUUUUGCGGGCGAAAUUAGUUGAGGUCGGGCGUACAUGGAGUCGAGGCAUAGCCAACAGCAUUGCUUCCGCGUACUCAUUCUAUUUCUGUUUUCUUUGUUACCUAGUGGAUUAGUAUUGCUCUGAUAACCUAUGGGAUUAAUAUUGUUUUUGGGUUGAGACUGAUAUUUGUGAAAUUGGAGUUGUGAUUUGGGGAGCAGAUGGCUCCAGAAGAUUAAGGAUGGAUGAUUUAGAAGUGUAAAUGUUUUCCUACAGGUUUUGGGUACCCUACUUUUAGGGGAAGUUCCGCCAAAUUUUUGGUAGAAUCUCUUCUAAAGUGGGCCCCGCAGGGCCACUUCGGAUUUCAGGGUGAAAUCUGGGGCGGGUCCUGUCAAUAUUUUUGUAUACAACUAAUAAACAAGUUGGACCAUAUUAGUAGGCAUAUCCAUAUUUUGUGCUAUCCAAACACUCAAAACUAAUACGUGUAGACAAAUUAACUUGAUCAGCUGUCAUUUUGACGUCAAAUACCCCUUAUACACUAAUACUUUCCUAAGGGGAGUUGAACCAUUAGGAGAUAAACUCUGAAAUUUUUAUAUUGGUUGGUAUAUCUCAUACCCACAAGAGCGUGAGAGCUGACAGAUCAAAAAAAUAAGAUCCGAAUGACCGGUUAUGAGCAUAUUAGUUUUAUGUGGUAUUUAGGGUUUAUCGUUGACCCAUUAGAUCAAGACCCAAACGACCACAAAAAUAGCUGAAAUUUUGACCAUUGCAAUUUCUUCCUACCAUGAUAACAUCCAAUGGUCGAUUUUGAUAAAUUCUAUUUUUUCCACUUUGUUGCUUAUGGAAGGUAUAUUUUUGUAUACAGCUAAUAAACAAGUUAGACCAUAUUAGUAGACAUAUCAAGAUUUUGUGCGAUCCAAAAAUCGAAACUGAAAGUUGAUAAAUCUGACAUUACCCAUCUAUUUAUAGAGUAUUAAUAGGUAUUGUGCAAAAAAAAAAUUACUCGAUCUGCCGUCAUUUUGACAUAAAACAAAGUGGUCAACCCUUUAUGCACUUAUACUUCCCUAAGGGGAGCUGAAUCACUAGGAAAUGAACUUCCCUAAAUUUUUACAUUGAUUGAUAUAGCUCGUACCCACGAGAGCGUGAGAGUUGACAGAUUGAAAAAAGAAGUUGUGAAAGACCGGUUAUAAGCAUAUUAGUUUUAUGUGGUACUUAGGAUUUGGAGUUGACCUAGUAGAUCAAGAUCCAGACAACGAUGAAAAUAGCUGAAAUUUUCACCAUAACUAUUUCUUCUUAUCAUGAUAACAUCCAACGGUCGAUUUUGAUAAUUUAUGUUUCCUCCAUGUGGUCAUUAUGCUAUCGAUCAACGUAGAUGGUGUGUGUGUGUGUAUUAUGGUUGACUUAGUGGAUCGAAAUCGAAACUAUAACGAAAUUGACUAAAUUUUUUACAAUAUACAUAAAAUAUUUCAAUACUCUCAUCCAAUUGUCGGCUUCCUCAUUUUUGUAUUUCUCGAAGGAAUUGCCCUUUGAGAAAUUUGAUAUAUAUAUAUAUGGUUAUACCUUUAAUUAUGGUUGGCCAUGCGUAUCGAAGUCGAAACGAAUAUGAAAUUAGUAGAAUUUUUAAGAACAACCAUAAAAAAUUUCGGGUCUUUCUAAAUGUACCCAGCAAAGUUCUAAGUAUACCCAGCAAAUUUAUUUAUUUUUAAAGAUAUCUAAUUAAACAACAUAGUUUCCCAAGUUACCCUUAUCUUGUACCCAGCAAAAAAACACAACGAUGAAAAUUUCCCAGUGUAGGUACUGUAGGUCAGAGAGAUGGAGGACAAAAAAUCUAAUUGUUGGCAU